CCUGUUUUCAGAUUGAAAAAAAGAUAUCCACCAUAAUAUCUUUUCCAGAAAUGCUUGAUAUGACGCCGUUCAUGAGUAAAAAUGAGAAUGAAUCACCAUUUCCGAUGGAUAAUAGAUAUUCUCUAUUUGCUGUUAUCAAUCAUUUGGGAACGUCCAUCAAUGUGGGACAUUAUACGGCAUAUAUUCGACAUCAGCGUGAUUAUUGGUAUAAAUGCGAUGAUCAUGUUAUCACUAGAGCUAACUUGAAAGAAGUUCUCGAUUCAGAAGGGUACCUUCUUUUCUAUCACAAACAUGUCCUGGCGUAUGAAUAAUUAUACAGAAGAUUCAAAUCAAUCGGAGUUGUAUACACUCGAGUAUCUAAUACUUUAUGGUUCUUUAUUUCAUCGUCCUGUAGUGGACAUACAUUAUUUUCUAUCUUUAUAGGUCUUCUACAUGAGGUUUACAGUAUUACCAAAGGAACUGUUUGAGUUAGAGGAAGUGAUUUCACCAGAUAUUUUACGUUUUUCAAUGACUAUUUGCGACGUAUAUACUUUUUGUUUAUUAUGUUAAAUAAAGGGAUUUAAGACCUUAAUGUCGCAUCUUCCAGAAA